UAUGGCCAUAUCACAUUAAACACCAGUUCUCAUACGAUCACCAAAGUUAAGCAACAUUCAGUCUGGUCAGUACUUAGAUGAGUGACUGCUUGGGAAUACCAGGUGCUGUAAU